AGCAGCCGCGGUAAUUCCAGCUCCAAUAGCGUAUAUUAAAGUUGUUGCAGUUAAAAAGCUCGUAGUUGAAUUUCGGGAUCAAUAUGUUGGUCGUGCCUUGGUACGUACUGGCAUUAUUGGUUCCUACCUUCUGAAGAACCUCGAUGUCAUUAAUUUGGUGUCUUGGGGAAUCAGGACUGUUACUUUGAAAAAAUUAGAGUGUUUAAAGCAGGCUCGCGCUUGAAUACAUUAGCAUGGAAUAAUGAAAUAGGACGUUUGAUUCUAUUUUGUUGGUUUCUAGGAUUGACGUAAUGAUUAAUAGGGAUAGUUGGGGGCAUUAGUAUUCAAUUGUCAGAGGUGAAAUUCUUGGAUUUAUUGAAGACUAAACUACUGCGAAAGCAUUUGCCUAAGGAUGUUUUCAUUAAUCAAGACGAAAGUUAGGGGAUCGAAGACGAUCAGAUACCGUCGUAGUCUUAACCAUAAACUAUGCCGACUAGGGAUCGGAUGAUGUUAAUUUUUAAUGACUCAUUCGGCGCCUUAA
rnacentral:rRNA from 1 species